rnacentral:rRNA from 1 species
UACGGAGGGUGCAAGCGUUGUCCGGAAUCACUGGGCGUAAAGGGCGCGUAGGCGGCUCAUGAAGGCUGUGGUGAAAGUCCGGGGCUCAACCCCGGGCCUGCAGUCGAUACGGGCAGACUAGAGUGCGGUAGGGGAGACUGGAAUUCCUGGUGUAGCGGUGGAAUGCGCAGAUAUCAGGAGGAACACCGAUGGCGAAGGCAGAUCUCUGGGCCGUAACUGACGCUCAGGCACGAAAGCGUGGGGAGCAAACAGG